rnacentral:snRNA from 1 species
CUACUAAAAUAUAAACACAAUACCAUCACGAAGGGGCUUCUUCCAGAGUGAGGCUGGUGCAUUGCACUUCGCAUCGGCUGACCUCUGCGAUUACCGCUAACGUCGGUAACUCGACAGUAUAAUUUCUGGUAGCGGAAGCCUGCGUUCGCGCUCGCUUCCU